rnacentral:rRNA from 1 species
AGCACAGGGGAGCUUGCUCCCCGGGUGACGAGCGGCGGACGGGUGAGUAAUGUCUGGGAAACUGCCUGAUGGAGGGGGAUAACUACUGGAAACGGUAGCUAAUACCGCAUAACGUCGCAAGACCAAAGAGGGGGACCUUCGGGCCUCUUGCCAUCAGAUGUGCCCAGAUGGGAUUAGCUAGUAGGUGGGGUAAUGGCUCACCUAGGCGACGAUCCCUAGCUGGUCUGAGAGGAUGACCAGCCACACUGGAACUGAGACACGGUCCAGACUCCUACGGGAGGCAGCAGUGGGGAAUAUUGCACAAUGGGCGCAAGCCUGAUGCAGCCAUGCCGCGUGUGUGAAGAAGGCCUUCGGGUUGUAAAGCACUUUCAGCGAGGAGGAAGGUGGUGAACUUAAUACGUUCAUCAAUUGACGUUACUCGCAGAAGAAGCACCGGCUAACUCCGUGCCA